AACGAACGCUGGCGGCGUGCCUAACACAUGCAAGUCUAACGGGCUGUAGCAAUACAGUCAGUGGCGCACGGGUGAGUAAUGCAUAGGUAAUCUGCCCUCAAGAUGGGGAUAACCUGCCGAAAGGCGGGCUAAUACCAAAUAAGACCACGGCAUCGGCAGAUGCUGCGGUUAAAGGUGGCCUCGAUUUAUAAGCUAUUGCUGGAGGAUGGGCAUGUGUCCCAUCAGCUAGUUGGUGAGGUAAAGGCUUACAAAGGCUAAGACGGGUAGCUGAUCUUAGAGGAUGAUCAGCCACACUGGAACUGAGACACGGUCCAGACUCCUACGGGAGGCAGCAGUGGGGAAUAUUGCACAAUGGACGAAAGUCUGAUGCAGCAACGCCGCGUGGGUGAUGAAGGCCUUCGGAUUGUAAAGCCCUGUCGACAGGGAAAAAUGUCCAGUAUGCUAAUAUCAUGCUGGAGUGAUUGUACCUGUGGAGGAAGCACCGGCUAACUCCGUGCCAGCAGCCGCCGUAA
rnacentral:rRNA from 1 species